AUAUUUGUGAUCUUGUCUUUUAUCCAAACCAAUAAAAACAGAAAAGAUUAAGCAUAGCCCCUGCACAAGGAUGACAUGCAAAUUGGUGAAACAUUCCAACUUUUU